GUGGAUUAGAUACCCUGGUAGUCCACGCCCUAAACGAUGAAUACUCGAUGUUGGCGAUAUACGGUCAGCGUCUAAGCGAAAGCGUUAAGUAUUCCACCUGGGGAGUACGCCCGCAAGGGUGAAACUCAAAGGAAUUGACGGGGGCCCGCACAAGCGGAGGAGCAUGUGGUUUAAUUCGAUGAUACGCGAGGAACCUUACCCGGGCUUGAAAGUUAGUGAAUGAUUCAGAGACGAAUCAGUCCUUCGGGACACGAAACUAGGUGCUGCAUGGCCGUCGACAACU
rnacentral:rRNA from 1 species